rnacentral:tRNA from 1 species
GUUUCGUUAGUAAAAGUUUAUUAUAUUAUUUUGAUAAGGUAAAGUUUUUCGAAAUA